rnacentral:rRNA from 1 species
GUGGGGAAUUUUGGACAAUGGGCGCAAGCCUGAUCCAGCAAUGCCGCGUGUGUGAAGAAGGCCUUCGGGUUGUAAAGCACUUUUGGCAGGAAAGAAAUAGUGCGUGCUAAUACCAUGCGCGAACGACGGUACCUGCAGAAUAAGCACCGGCUAACUACGUGCCAGCAGCCGCGGUAAGACGUAGGGUGCAAGCGUUAAUCGGAAUUACUGGGCGUAAAGCGUGCGCAGGCGGUUUUGUAAGACAGGUGUGAAAUCCCCGGGCUCAACCUGGGAACUGCACUUGUGACUGCAAGGCUAGAGUGUGUCAGAGGGAGGUGGAAUUCCGCGUGUAGCAGUGAAAUGCGUAGAGAUGCGGAGGAACACCGAUGGCGAAGGCAGCCUCCUGGGAUAACACUGACGCUCAGGCACGAAAGCGUGGGGAGCAAACAGGAUUAGAUACCCGAGUAGUCC